AUUUUAACAAUUAAUUUGGCUGAAAUAACAACGACAGCUGCAUGGUUGCUUCACGAGUAACUGCUGUUGUUGCUUAAACUUGUUAGUGGAACUCUCAAUACAUCAUCUGAUUUGUAUCUUUUGUUCCUAUUUAGUUCCCAUCUCAACCACAACUACCUGCAACAACAGUGGGUUCACCUCCAAUGGGAUUAAGUCUUCCACAAUAACAACAGGAAUCAUGAUAAGCUCUCUCACUUGGGUCACCAACUCAACUGCAGAUGACAAUACGA